rnacentral:rRNA from 1 species
GAUGAACGCUAGCGGCAGGCUUAAUACACGCAAGUCGAGGGACAGCACAGGUAGCAAUACUGGGUGGUAACCGGCAAACGGGUGCGGAACACGUACACAACCUUCGCUUAAGUGGGGGAUAGCCCAGAGCAAUUUGGAUUAAUACCCCGUAAUAUAGUUGAAUGGCAUCAUUUGAUUAUUAUAGCUACGGCGCUUAAUGAUGGGUGCGCGGCUGAUUAGAUAGUUGGCGGGGUAACGGCCCACCAAGUCUACGAUCAGUAGCUGAUGUGAGAGCAUGAUCAGCCACACGGGCACUGGGACACGCGCCCGACUCCUCCGGGAGGCAGCAGUAAUGAAUAUUGGUCAAUGAACGCAAGUCUGAACCAGCCAUGCCGCGUGAAGGAUUAAGGUCCUCUGGAUUGUAAACUUCUUUUAUUUGGGACGAAAAAGGGCCUUUCUAGGUCAACUGACGGUACCAGAUGAAUAAGCACCGGCUAACUCCGUGCCAGCCGCCGCAGUAACAC